rnacentral:rRNA from 1 species
UACGGAGGAUCCGAGCGUUAUCCGGAUUUAUUGGGUUUAAAGGGUGCGCAGGCGGGGGAUUAAGUCGGCGGUGAAAUUUUGCAGCUCAACUGUAAAAGUGCCUUCGAAACUGGUUUCCUUGAGUGUAGACGAAGUAGGCGGAAUUUGUGGUGUAGCGGUGAAAUGCAUAGAUAUCACGAGGAACUCCGAUUGCGCAGGCAGCUUACUAAACUACUACUGACGCUCAGGCACGAAGGCGUGGGGAUCAAACAGGAUUAGAUACCCCCGUAGUCCCUGA